AAAGGAUGGGGUUGACGGUGUGGGGGAUGUGCCUGUUGCCUAUGGACUCUCCAUGCCUUUCUUCUGGGAUCCCGGUGGCUCACCUGAAGAAAGGGAUUUACAGGCCUCUCCUUGGCAGAGAAUUUCUAUUUGAUGCACACACAAACCUCCUGGCCUGAAUAAGAAAUUCUAGUUUAUGAA